rnacentral:rRNA from 1 species
AUUGAACGCUGGCGGCAUGCCUUACACAUGCAAGUCGAACGGUAACAGGUCUUCGGAUGCUGACGAGUGGCGAGCGGGUGAGUAAUACAUCGGAACGUGCCUAGUAGUGGGGGAUAACUACUCGAAAGAGUGGCUAAUACCGCAUGAGAUCUACGGAUGAAAGCAGGGGAUCGCAAGACCUUGUGCUACUAGAGCGGCCGAUGGCAGAUUAGGUAGUUGGUGGGAUAAAAGCUUACCAAGCCGACGAUCUGUAGCUGGUCUGAGAGGACGAUCAGCCACACGGGGACUGAGACACGGCCCAGACUCCUACGGGAGGCAGCAGUGGGGAAUUUUGGACAAUGGGCGCAAGCCUGAUCCAGCAAUGCCGCGUGCAGGAUGAUGGCCUUCGGGUUGUAAACUGCUUUUGUACGGAACGAAAAGCCCUGGGUUAAUACCCUGGGGUCAUGACGGUACCGUAAGAAUAAGCACCGGCUAACUACGUGCCAGCCGCCGCCGUAACAC